rnacentral:lncRNA from 14 species
UUAAACCAUGACACUGCUGAACCCAGGAUACUUCUUAAUUCAACUCUUAAUCAUUUAGAGUAUCUGUCUCAGGGAACUGAUAUUUUUGAGUACAUACCAGAAUUCCUCAUGGAAAAUGAGCGCAUGGUAGACAAGCAUGCAUUUUGAACACUCAUUCUCCUUCUAAUUUCUGAAUACAAACACCAGUUGGAAGGAUCUCUGCCUGCUAAGAAGCUCAUCCGUUCCACAGCUCAUCAUGACUCCACAGACUUCAUGAGAUACAUUGCCAUGGAUUGUAGUGGAGUUUUAGGCACUGACUCACAGGUGAAUGACUGAAAUACAGCCAUCUAAAAUCUGGGGCUGAAUUGUCUCCAGUAGUGCUGGACUCAACAAUUUUCUCUGUCAGCUAAAGUGAAGAGCAAAGACUCGUCUCCAUCUAUUUAUUUUCACUCAAGCAUAAAGACGAUGAUUCUAUGAACAGACAGCUAAUAAAGGUUUUCUCAUGAAGACA